rnacentral:lncRNA from 1 species
CGGGCCGAUACCGCGGGCGCCCCCUGGUCGCGUGGAGGGCGAUGAGCGAACGACCCGGGACUUGUCUGAAUGGGACCCCAGCAAGGCACACGUGGUCUUCAAUGCGAUGGGCGCUUCCAGGGGACCCGGCGUCCCUUGGGUCCAGGAAGUCUUAUACUGUCUCCUCUCACGGCCCCGACAGAAACGGUUUCUGAGGAGUAGAAGUGUCCUAAGUGGAUUGGAAAUUACAAAUGCCGGAAAGAACCUAGGGAUGGAAAGCAGCCCUCAACUUUGACCAACCGCCGUGGGUUAGGUUUACAGUGGGGAAAAAAAAUAGAAAUUGUGCCUGACUUCAAUGACCGCCACUAUUUGAAGCAAACUGCCCAUCCAAGCCUUAUCAUCCCCUUUAACACCCUAAUGUUUCUGUCCAUGUGGACUUCGACGUGGUCCUCUAGAAUGGUUUUGUACUUCCCCGCGACUCAGCCCACCAGCACCCAGUUGAAAUAAACAGCCAUGUUGCUCACAGAAAGCCUGUUUGGUGAUCUCUUCACACGGACACAUGAAACAUUUGGUGCCAAAGACCCGGGUCAGUGGGACUCCUUUUGGAGACCAGUCCCCUGUCCUCACCCUCACUCCGUGAAGAGAUCCACCUACGACCUCAGGUCCUCAGACCAACCAGCCCAAGGAACAUCUCACCGAUUUUAAAUCAGGACCCCACUAGAAAUUGGACUGUCCAACUGGCCCAAGGCUCUGAUCGACUCCUUCCCAGAUCUCCUCGGCUUAGCAGCUGAAGACUGACACUGCCUGAUCGCCUCGGAAGCCCCUUGGACCAUCACGGACGCUGAGCUUCGGGUAACUCUCACAGUGAAGGAAGACAAGAAUGUCAGGCCUCUGAGCCCAAGCUAAGCCAUCAUAUCCCCAGUGACCUGCGCGUAUACAUCCAGAUGGCCUGAAGCAACUGAAGAUCCACAGAAGUGAAAAUAUCCUUAACUGAUGACAUUCCACCAUUGUGAUUUGUUUCUGCCCUACCCUAACUGAUCAAUGUUCUUUAUAAUCUCUCCGACCCUUAAGAAGUUUCUUUGUAAUUCUCCCCACCCUUGAGAAUGUACUUUGUGAGAUCCACCGCCUGCCCCCAAAACAUUGCUCUUAACUCCACUGCCUAUCCCAAAACCUAUAAGAACCAAUGAUAAUCCCACCACCCUUUGCUGACUCCUUUUUCGGACUCAGCCCGCCUGCACUCAGGUGAAAUAAACAGCCAUGUUGCUCACAGAAAGCCUGUUUGGUGAUCUCUUCACACGGACAUGUGAGACACUCGCUACCACACCCGACUAAUUUUUUGUAUUUUUAGUAGAGAGGGGGUUUCACAAUGUUGGGCAGGCUGGUCUUGAACUCCUGACCUCAGGUGAUCCACACGCUUUGGCCUCCCAAAGUGCUGGGAUUACAGGUGUGAGCCACCUCGCCCAGCCAGGAUAACUUUUUCUGUAAGAUGAAAGACAUCAUAAUGCAAGCCAUUUUGGAAAAUAUUUUGGGAUAAAAUGCUAGUAAUAUAUCUGACAAAAUAAAGAUAAUAUCCCUACCAUAAAAAUAAACCUUACAAAUUUAUUUUUAGAAAAGAUGAAGAGCUCGAUUGCUUAAUGGUCAAAGUAUAUGAAUAGGUAAUUAACAGAAGAGGAGAUGCAAAGGCUAACAAAUAUAUAAAAACCUUUUUAUCUUACUAGUUGUCAGGAAAGUAAAAAAUGAAUUAAUGAGAUACCAUUAUUUUCACCCAUCGGAUUGGCAAAAAGUAAAGACUGCGCAUAGAUGCUGAUGACUGCCCAUAAAAAGGGACCCACAACGCUGCUGUUAAGAGUUUGAGUGUGAGUCAAUACAACAUUUGGAGGAAGUAAUCUUUGUAAAAUUAUCGGUUGGGAUUAAUUACAAUUGAAAAUAGGCUGAGCACGGUGGCUCACACCUGUAAUCCCAGCACUUUGUGAGACUGAGGUGGGAGGAUCUCUUAAGGCCAAAAGUUCAGGACCAGCCUAGGCAACCUAGCAAGCUCCUAUUUCUACAAAAAAAUAAAAAUAAAAAUAAAUUGGCUGGGUAAGGUGCUGAGAGUUUGUAAUCCCAGCUACUUGGGAGACUGAAUCAGGAGAAUAGUUUAAACCCAGUGUCUCACACAUCCAUGUGAAGAGACCACCAAACAGGCUUUGUGUGAGCAACAAGGCUAUUUAUUUCACCUGGGUGCAUGUGGGCUGAGUCCAAAAAGAGAGUCAGCAAA